GCCGGAGGUUACUGCUAUCGAGGUUCGACUAAGCCAUGCGAGUCGAAUGUAGCAAUACAUGGCGAACUGCUCAGUAACACGUGGACAACCUGCCCUUAGGUUGGGUAUAAACCCGGGAAACUGGGUAUAAUACCCGAUAGGUCUCGAUUGCUGGAAUGCAUCGAGAUUUAAAGCUCCGGCGCCUAAGGAUGGGUCUGCGGCCUAUCAGGUAGUAGUGGGUGUAGCGUACCUACUAGCCUACGACGGGUACGGGUUGUGAGAGCAAGAGCCCGGAGAUGGAUUCUGAGACACGAAUCCAGGCCCUACGGGGUGCAGCAGGCGCGAAAACUUUACAAUGCUGGCAACAGCGAUAAGGGAACCUCGAGUGCCAGGUUACAAAUCUGGCUGUCGAGAUGCCUAAAAAGCAUUUCAUAGCAAGGGCCGGGCAAGACCGGUGCCAGCCGCCGCGGUAACACCGGCGGCUCGAGUGGUAACCGUUAUUAUUGGGUCUAAAGGGUCUGUAGCCGGCCGGAUAAGUCUCUUGAGAAAUCUGGCAGCUUAACUGUCAGGCUUUCAGGAGAUACUGUCUGGCUCGAGGCCGGGAGAGGUGAGAGGUGCUUCAGGGGUAGGGGUGAAAUCUUG
rnacentral:rRNA from 1 species